rfam:Triticum aestivum genome assembly, contig: Triticum_aestivum_CS42_TGACv1_scaffold_321127_4BL
CUUGUACUCCCUCCGUCCAGAAAUAAUUGUCAUUGAAAUGGAUGUAUCUAGAUGUAUUUUAGUUCUAGACACAUCCAUUUUGAUGACAAAUAAUUCUGGGCGGAGGGAGUACUUG